AUGACCAAAGGUCACUUUCACCGCCAUCUUGGUUUUCAUGGGUUUUGGCCAGCUUUGUUACCGCAUCCUGUUUUAUCAGUGGGGUCUUUGUGACCUGUAUCUUGUAUUGUCCUCUUAUCUCAUCCUGUGACUAAGAAUGCCUAACCUCCUGGGAAUGCAGCCCAGCAGGCCUCAGCCUUAUUUUACCCAGCUACUAUUCAAGAUGGAGUCGUUCUAGUUCAAAUGCCUCUGACGCUCCCACCUCAGCCUUCCCAAGCACUGGGAUUACAGAUGUGUGCCUUCACAUCCAGAGAUGGCACAAAUUUGGGUGACUUGAAAUCCAGAGCUAGGAGAAAGAGGAGACAGAGUUUAGAGUCCUAAUGGCCUGAGUCACAUCCAUGCUUAGUCUCCUUCUGAAUGGUCUCGCUCUGUCACCCAGGCUGGAGUGCAAUGGCGUGACCUCGGCUCACUGCAACCUCUGCCUCCCGAGUUCAAGCGAUUCUCCCACAUCAGUCUCCCAGGCUCUCAAGAGUGAAGCGAGAGAAACAGAACCUACUUCACAGGGUGUUUGGAAGAUUAAAUGAGAUGAAGGAUGUGAAGUGCUUUCUACUAAGACCGAUACAUCAUAAGCCCUCGGUAAAUGAUAGCCACUGGCAUUAAUGAUCUUUUUGUUUUGUUUUGUUUUUUGAGAUGGAGUCUUGCUCUGUCGC